UUCUUUUUUUCUUUCUUUCUUUUUUUCCUUUUAUGUUUCUUCUUAAAAGGGAACUAAUCCCAUUCAUGAGAGCCCCACCUUCAUGACGUAAUCACCUCUCAAAGGUCUCACCUCUUAAUACCAUCCCAUUAGGGAUUAGGCUUCAACAUAUUAAUUUUGGGGAGGACACAAACAUUCAGUCCAUAGUAACUUUGAUCUUUCUCUUUCUUGAUUUCUGUAGUUAGAAUUCCUGAAAGCUGCCUUGACUCCUCCUGGAACAAUGUGGGACAUAAAUAAACAAAUAGAUGGUAACUAAAAAAUCUGACUGCUGGGUGGACACAAACUGGUCCUCUAAUCCUAACUUCAUACUAAAUUUUUGCGUGAUUCUCCCCUUGAUCUCUGACCCUGGUCCUACACUGACCCCUAAUCCCACAUGGAGUGGGACAACCUACUCUCAGUUUACAUGAAUAGCUUAUUGCGGGAUUGGUAUGUGCCAGGCGCUGGUCUAAGUGUUUUACAUUUAUUCAUGGAUUUAAUCUUCCCAAUGGCCCUAGGGAUAGGCAUGAUUAUAACUUCUGUUUUAGAAUGAAUGAUUAUAUAGUAUUUUUAUUUUUAUUUAUUUUUGAGACAUCCUUCCACUCUAGGGAACAGAAGAGUCAGGGAGGUGCUAAGAAACAGAAGUGAAACUUCAUUAGAUGAUCUGGUGAAUUUGAAUGCAUUGUCAUCUUCAGAGCUGGGGGUGAUCUGGUGAAUUUGAAUGCAUUGUCAUCUUCAGAGCUGGGGGUGAUCUGGUGAAUUUGAAUGCAUUGUCAUCUUCAGAGCUGGGGGUGAUCUGGUGAAUUUGAAUGCAUUGUCAUCUUCAGAGCUGGGGG
rnacentral:lncRNA from 1 species